rnacentral:lncRNA from 1 species
UGAUCUUCCAUUCCACCAUGUAAAUAUGCUUCCUUUAAAACCCAAAUCUGUCAGAAUGCAGGAAUUUAUGCAGUGUCUAAACUCAUCUACUUCAAGAAGAGAAACUGGUAAGCCUCCAUACUUCUCUUCCUAGUCCCAUAUCACAUUAAUGUCACCUCCAACUAGCCAGGGUACUGUCAUAUCUGAUGCCAUUGCAUACAACGAAUCCCAUAGAUCAAUUCUUUCAAUACGAUCACAUUUGGCAUAGACUAGUGUAAGGAUGAGCUCAGCAUGAGUUUCAGUGUGUAUCAACCUCAAAGUCAGCUAUUGAGUCAUGUUGUACAGAAUAGUAACUUCAUAAAUUUCAUCAAUAAAAGCCCAAAUCUUGUUUGACACAUUCACCACAGCUUGAAGCCUACCAAUUCUUGCUCUAUACCUCUCAAUUUUGUGAGACUGCUAUAGGCUCAAUGAUUCCUAUGAACUGAAAGUGAUGUUUUUUAUGCAAUGUAAUAAGCCUUUCAAAUGCUUGCAUUGUGUUUACUGACCUUACAUUCCAUAUAAUGGCAUCCAUUAAAUAUUUUUGGGUUUGGAUAGUGUACUCCUUAUUUGUACUCCAAUGACAUGUACAUUAGAAGUCUCUUUUGACUGUUUCUUUUUUCCUUUUGUUGCAGAUUUUACAGGUUAAAUAUUCCUUGGUGACAGAUCCCCAUGCUUGGCAAUAUUAAAGAAAUUUUGUGCAAUGAAUUCCUCAUCCAUGUCUGUGACAGAUCCCCAUGCUUGGCAACAUUAAGGAAAUUUUUUGCAGUGGAUUCCUCAUCCAUGUCUCUACCUUUAAGUUCUGCGUGGUCAUCUAGGUCAUAUGUUUCUAUUGGUUGAUUUGUUGUGACAACAUGAUAUCGGUGAUCGGUAAGGUCAUCAUUAUUUUCCUGAUUGGUAACUUCAGUAGCAUUUUCUUCAGGAUCGUGGUAACCAACCGAGUAUUGUUCGAAGGAACAAUACUUCCUGCUACACCCUUUGCUGUGGUUAGAAUUAACUCACUUUUUGCAUAGACAUGCACUAUCUUCUCUUGGUUCUUGACUGAAAAUUUCUCUUUAUUGGUAUCUAAAGUUUGUACUUCCUUCAAGACAUUACUCACAGCAUUUUGCAAAGUCCCUCCUGGAUCUUUGAUAUUGAUAUUUCCCUCUAUUGUCUUUUUUUCUACUGCAUUUGCGCUUCACUUAUGCUUUGAAUAGUGAUUUCAUUGACAUAAUCAAUAAAACUUUGGUCGUCGUUUUUCACUUUAUUUCCUCCAUUUUCAUCAUCACUAUGCAUUGUAUCUGGAAUCUGGAAUCAUCAAUAUGUUGCUCUUUCCUAAAACUUGUUGUACACAAUCUACUUGAUUCCCUAUUGUCUUCAAGAUUUCUUUUUUGUUGUAGGAUUAAUUGAAGGUCUGCAUGUUUCAGUUUAUUUGGUUGUAUCUUGGAUGGUUGUUUGCUAGAGGAGGUGGUGGAAGAAAUCUCUUGUACCAUUUGUGUAUUAGAAAAAUAAAAUUCCUGCUUCUCUAAAACAUUUUCCACACCUGUUUAUAUUGUUGAAUAUCAUUGUUGCUUGUGGUUUUUUGAAGUGGAGAUUCCUCUGUAACUGCUAGCUGGUUACCUUCAUUGUUAUCAGCAUUUUCAAUUUCUAAUAUUGAUAAUUGGUUGGUAGUUUGGAUUUUUUUGUGACAUCGGUAUUGAAACCAAGAACUAUUUCUUUACCUUGUGCAGCAGAAACUUUAGUUUGUUUUCCUUUGAUAAGAACCCUAUUAUCG